UUUUACAAAAUUCACUCAUUUCUUAUGUUAAAAAUUGGCAUAGUUGACGAAAUAAUCAGAUAGCUAUAUGUGGCGUACUACGUGUAACUUGUGUUGAUGUACAAGGACCAAUGUUUAACAAUAAAAAUGGAUGGAAUUUUUAACA
rfam:Gossypium hirsutum cultivar TM-1 chromosome 9, whole genome shotgun sequence